GCACUGCUGAAGAGUCGUACAUUAGGACGAAACGGUCGUCCAGUGC
rnacentral:hammerhead_ribozyme from 1 species